CAGCAGUAGCCACGGGAAUACAGAGGAUGCAAGCGUUAUCCGGAAUGAUUGGGCGUAAAGCGUCUGUAGGUGGCUUUUCAAGUCCGCCGUCAAAUCCCCGGGCUCAACCGGGGAGGGUCAUUGGAAACUGGGAAACUUGAGUGCAGAAGAGGAGAGUGGAAUUCCACGUGUAGCGGUGAAAUGCGUAGAGAUGUGGAGGAACACCAGUGGCGAAGGCGACUCUCUGGUCUGUAACUGACGCUGAGGAGCGAAAGCGUGGGGAGCGAACAGGAUUAGAGACCCCCGUAGUCCCUGUCUCUUAUAC
rnacentral:rRNA from 1 species